GCUCCACUAGCCCAAUCGGUAGAGGCGACGGACUUAGAUUCCGUGCGAUGGCGGUUCGAAUCCGUCGUGGAGCACCA
rnacentral:tRNA from 1 species